rnacentral:rRNA from 1 species
CCUACGGGUGGCUGCAGUGAGGAAUAUUGGUCAAUGGACGAGAGUCUGAACCAGCCAAGCAGCGUGAAGGAUGACUGCUCUAUGGGUUGUAAACUGCUUUUAUAUGAGAAUAAAAUGUUCCACGUGUGGGAUUUUGUAUGUACCAUAUGAAUAAGGAUCGGCUAACUCCGUGCCAGCAGCCGCGGUAAUACGGAGGAUCCGAGCGUUAUCCGGAUUUAUUGGGUUUAAAGGGAGCGUAGGUGGUCUGCUAAGUCAGUGGUGAAAGUCUGCGGCUCAACCGUAAAAUUGCAGUUGAAACUGGUAGUCUUGAGUGUAGUAGAGGUAGGCGGAAUUCGUGGUGUAGCGGUGAAAUGCUUAGAUAUCACGAAGAACUCCGAUUGCGAAGGCAGCUCACUGGACUGCAACUGACGCUGAGGCACGAAAGUGUGGGGAUCAAACAGGAUUAGAUACCCUUGUAGUC